rnacentral:lncRNA from 1 species
CACCAAACAAGGAGCUUUAUAAAAGCCUCUCCCGUGGUCACUCAAUCCCUCCAAACAGCUGAACUGGAAUUAAGUUGGCAACAAAUACUGAAUACCACCAAUGUCAGACAACUGAGGGUUUCUGCGGCAAGAGCAGAAUCAAAAAUAAUAAAACCAAAUUGCUGGAAAGCACCUACACUGCUUGCACAGGACUCCCGAAUCCAAGAAAAGCUUCCAGGCUUUUGUGCUGGCCCGGCUGAGGUUGAAUUGUUUCUAUUCUUUCCUGCACCGGGAAGUCAUGGGAGACACAGAUACAGAACUCAGGAGCAAUCCAGGGGAGAAAGAACAGCUAUCCCAACUCAAUUCCCAAACAGGUAAGUCAUAGAAUUCUUCAAAAACACUGGAGAAAACAGGGAC